ACGCUGCCUUUCCCCUUCUCUUGCAAAGCUAGGUUAGGGUUUUCUUCUCUUCUCCCUUUCCCGUCGUCGCCGCCAUCUCUCUUCUCGCCGUGCGGCUUUCUCUCUCGUGAGCACAGCACGGCGCGGUCUCCGCGCUUCCCUCCUCCCCUCCCUUUCUUCGGCUUGGCCCUGGUGGGUGUGUGAGCGCUCAGCUCCGUAUCGGUGACUCGUCGUCCUCCUCGUAUCCUGCUUGACCUGAUUGCACGUGCACCCAUUAGAGUUGGAGAAGACCAACCUCCUCCUUCCUGGGACCUUGUACCCUCUCCAAGAGAUUGCUCGUGAACCAACUAUAGUUGGAGAAGAAAUUUUCUGGGGAGCGAAAUAAAGGAAAUGCAAUGUGUUGCUGACUUUGUGGGGAAUGGGAGGAAGUCCUGAUAUUUUUUUUAUAUGUAGGGUAAUACUUAUGAUCUUUUCAAGACAUUCUUGAAAGCAAGCAUGGGUGGCUUUCUGGUAUGGACAUGCAGGAAGAGCACUUCUAUUCAGGGUGAAGACAUCCAUUGGAGCAAGCAUUGGUGUUGGAUGUAAUUGUUGCCAUUGUGACAUGUCAGGUCUUCAACAAUGCCUCAAUGCUGUUCUGAUUGUACUCUUUUGAUCAAGCCGAUGUGCCUAUUUGUGUUUUCUAUUUUCCUUUGAAAUGGACAUAUGCUGCUUUUGAUUAUACCAUCACCAGUGCAGUACUGUUUUCAGGUGAAA